GUACUCAUUGAGGGGCGUGACUCUAAGGUCCUACCAUAAACUCUCGGUAAUCGAUCUAAUCCUCAACGGCGCAAGAGUUGGCGAAAG
rnacentral:sRNA from 1 species